CUUGAACGCUGGCGGCAGGCCUAACACAUGCAAGUCGAGCGGAUGAAGGGAGCUUGCUCCUGGAUUCAGCGGCGGACGGGUGAGUAAUGCCUAGGAAUCUGCCUGGUAGUGGGGGAUAACGUCCGGAAACGGGCGCUAAUACCGCAUACGUCCUGAGGGAGAAAGUGGGGGAUCUUCGGACCUCACGCUAUCAGAUGAGUCUAGGUCGGAUUAGCUAGUUGGUGGGGUAAAGGCCUACCAAGGCGACGAUCCGUAACUGGUCUGAGAGGAUGAUCAGUCACACUGGAACUGAGACACGGUCCAGACUCCUACGGGAGGAAGCAGUGGGGAAUAUUGGACAAUGGGCGAAAGCCUGAUCCAGCCAUGCCGCGUGUGUGAAGAAGGUCUUCGGAUUGUAAAGCACUUUAAGUUGGGAGGAAGGGCAGUAAGUUAAUACCUUGCUGUUUUGACGUUACCAACAGAAUAAGCACCGGCUAACUUCGUG
rnacentral:rRNA from 1 species